UGGGGGAUGGGCCCAAGGUGGGGACUGGCCACCUGAAGGACCCGCCGCGGUAGGGUCUUGGCAUCUUCAGUCCCAGCCCCCUUCUUCCCGGGAGCCCCUGAUCUGUAGCCAAGUCAGGCAGAAGCGAGUGCCCAGCCCGGAAAAAUGAGGAGCCUCUUAGGGGUCAAGGGCAUGCGUAUGGCUGACUUUGGAAGCAUUGCUUGAACUUGCGGAGGCUACGAACGUUCUCGGUCCUGACCUGGACACCCAGGAUGUCUGCAUCUCCUGGAUUGCCCCGUCUUGUGAGGGUGUGAUGCUUGGAGCCACGGCAACUGUUUUGUGACCAUGAGGAGCAUCAUCUCCUAUACUACAGCGACCACAAGUCUGGAUUUGAUUUCUCAGGCUGCAGGAUUUCCAGCACAAAAAUUGGAAAAGUCUGGGCAACAGGAUGAUUUGUCCCCCUAAACCGGUGACAUGACAGGGCAGAAAGAAACGGGCCUUUGCCAACAUCCUUGAACUGCCAACCACCUCUGGACGCCUUUGACCUCUGGAUUUGUUGUUGUUAUACAAACCAUGAAUAUCUUUAUGGUUUAA